rnacentral:rRNA from 1 species
UACGGAGGGUGCAAGCGUUAUCCGGAUUCACUGGGUUUAAAGGGUGCGUAGGUGGGCAAGUAAGUCAGUGGUGAAAUCUCCGGGCUUAACCCGGAAACUGCCAUUGAUACUAUUUGUCUUGAAUACUGUGGAGGUCAGCGGAAUAUGUCAUGUAGCGGUGAAAUGCUUAGAUAUCGUCAAGAACACCGAUAGCGAAGGCAGCUUACUGGGCUGUAACUGACGCUGAGGCACGAAAGUGUGGGGAUCAAACAGG